rnacentral:rRNA from 1 species
GACGAACGCUGGCGGCGUGCCUAAUACAUGCAAGUCGAACGCAGUGGGGACGGGUGAGUAACACGUGUGUAACCUCCCAUCAGAGGGGAUAACACUUGGAAUCAGGUGCUAAAACCGAUAUCGAUGGAUGGACCCGCGGUGCAUUAGCUAGUUGGUGAGGUAACGGCUCACCAAGGUCAAGAUGCAUAGCCAACCUGGGAUGGUGAUCGGCCACGCUGGGACUAGGGCACGGCCCAGACUCCAACGGGAGGCAGCAGUAGUGAAUCUUCGGCAAUGGACGAAAGUCUGUCCGAGCAGCGCCGCGUGAGUGAAGAAGGUUGUCGGAUCGUAAAGCUCUGUUGUUAGAGAAGCGGUAUCUAACCAGAAAGCCACGGCUAACUUCGUGCCAGCCGCCGCGGUAAUUC